rnacentral:tRNA from 1 species
GCGAAAAGAGCUCGGCAAGGUUUGAGCAGUAGAUUGUGGAUCUAAAGGUCAAGGGUUCAAAUCCCUUUUUUCGCC